rnacentral:misc_RNA from 1 species
UCUCCGUAGGUGAACCUGCGGAGGGAUCAUUACAAGUGACCCCGGUCUUACCAUCGGGAUGUUCAUAACCCUUUGUUGUCCGACUCUGUUGCCUCCGGGGCGACCCUGCCUUCGGGCGGGGGCUCCGGGUGGACACUUCAAACUCUUGCGUAACUUUGCAGUCUGAGUAAACUUAAUCAAUAAAUUAAAACUUUUAACAACGGAUCUCUUGGUUCUG